UACGAAGGGGGCUAGCGUUGUUCGGAAUUACUGGGCGUAAAGCGCGUGUAGGCGGGGCUUUAAGUCAGGGGGGAAAUGCCAAGGCUCAACCUUGGAACUGCCUUUGAUACUGGAGAUCUUGAGUCCGGGAGAGGUGAGUGGAACUGCGAGUGUAGAGGUGAAAUUCGUAGAUAUCGGGAGGAACACCAGUGGCGAAGGCGGCUACCUGGACCAGCACUGACACUGAAGCACGAAAGCGUGGGGAGCAAACAGG
rnacentral:rRNA from 1 species